GGAGCUGUGGAACUGGGCGGGGGCCUGGGGGGAGCGAUCUGGCCCGUGCCCUGGCAGUUGCGCCGCUUGCCUGACGGCACCCCGGGACCUUGCCCUCCGCCCAGCACCUGCCCAGCCAGCUCUGGGAAGGACGGUGGGGACUGCAGCCAGAGGCUGGCCCCAGGAAGGGCCCUGGCUCAGAGGUGGGGGCUCAAAGAUGUGGAAACCUGAGGGCGAAGGCAGGGGAGGGAGAGGCCCGGAGGCGGUAGAGGCGCAGAGAGGGACCAGGCUCACCUGAAGUGCGGGGGAGAGAUUGCCCGACACCCCUGGCUCUCCCCGACUUGGUUCCUCUUGGGUCUGAAGUCUGAGCUCACAGAAUUUCUGCGUAACCAGCCCUUCCAGGCCCCGGUGGGGAGCGAGAGGUCAACACAAAGCUGGGGCGGCCAUCCCGAGGCUCCCCUCCAGCCCUGUCCCGCCCUGGGGCUCCUGCAUAGACUCCUUCUGAGCGGUGGCUUUCAGGCGCAUCUCAGAGUUGCAGGCAGUGAUUGUUGCGGUUGUACUUGCUCACCUGCGUGUCCAGAGAGACACGCAUACACUUGUGUGUGCACACACGUUCCCACACACAUGUGUAUGACGCACGUGUACACAUGUAUGCAAAGUACACACACCAUGUAUCUACACAUGUAAUACAAGACUCAUGCCACACACUGUCACAGAUCUGCACACAUGUCUGCAUACACCACACACACACACACACACACAACACAGAUACAGAUACACAAAGGGACCCUCAGAAACACACUGACAGGUGCCCACACCAUUGGCUCCAGCCCCGAAGGUGCCUCUGUUUCUCUGUGGGCCUGUGGGUGCACAGCCACCUCCAGCCUGACCCUCUCCUGUCGCCCUUACUCCCAUGACUGGUUUGUUUUGCUCAUUGCACUUGGCGCCCUCUGAAAUGACUGUACUGAUCUGAGUCCUUGUUGGCAUUCUGCCCUCUUCUGCAUGGGGACCUUGUCUGUGUCCCCCAGUGUCCCAGGCUGGCAUGAAGUAAGCGCACAGAGUUCGUGAAUUAAUGCCUAUCCUGGGGCAGAGUCCAGGGCGGCUCAAGGCUCCUCCACACGCGCCCGCUGAACCCUGAGCACCCUGAGCCGCAGGAUGGGGCGGGCCGGGGCUGCCGCCAUGAUCCCGGGCCUGGCCCUGCUCUGGGCAGCAGUGCUGGGGGAUGCUACCCCCAGCCCCCCACGCCUUCGGCUCUCCUUCCAAGAGCUCCAGGCGCGGCACGGUCUCCGGAUCUUCAGGCUGGAGAGGACCUGCUGUUAUGAAGCUCUGCUGGUGGAUGAGGAAAGAGGACGCCUGUUUGUGGGUGCUGAGAACCACGUGGCUUCCCUCAGCUUGGACAACAUCAGCAAGCAGGCCAAGAAGCUGGCCUGGCCGGCUCCUGUGGAAUGGCGAGAGGAGUGCAACUGGGCCGGGAAGGACAUUGGUACGGAGUGCAUGAACUUCGUGAAGUUGCUGCAUACCUACAACCGCACCCACUUGCUGGCUUGUGGCACAGGGGCCUUCCACCCAACCUGUGCCUUUGUGGAGGUGGGCCACCGGCUGGAGGAGCCUGUGCUGAGGCUGGAUCUUCGAAGGCUAGAGGACGGCAAGGGCAAGAGUCCUUAUGACCCAAGGCAUCGGGCUGCCUCCGUGCUGGUGGGAGAAGAACUAUACUCAGGGGUGGCUGCAGACCUCAUGGGCCGAGACUUCACCAUCUUCCGCAGCCUGGGCCAGCGUCCAAGCCUCCGAACAGAACCACACGACUCCCGCUGGCUCAACGAGCCCAAGUUUGUCAAGGUCUUUUGGAUCCCAGAGAGCGAGAAUCCCGAUGAUGACAAGAUCUACUUCUUCUUCCGGGAGUCGGCAGUGGAGGCUGCACCGGCACUGGGACGCCUGUCUGUGUCCCGUGUUGGCCAGAUCUGCCGGAAUGACGUGGGCGGCCAGCGCAGCCUGGUCAACAAGUGGACCACGUUCCUGAAGGCACGUCUGGUGUGCUCAGUGCCAGGUGCCGAAGGUGACACGCACUUCGACCAGCUCCAGGAUGUGUUCCUGCUGUCCUUGAGGGACCGCUGGAGCCCGCUGCUCUACACUGUCUUCACCACGUCCAGCACCAUCUUCCAAGGCUCUGCAGUGUGUGUGUACAGCAUGAACGAUGUGCGCCGUGCAUUCCUGGGGCCCUUUGCACACAAGGAAGGGCCCAUGCACCAGUGGGUGUCCUAUCAGGGCCGAGUCCCCUACCCCCGGCCAGGCAUGUGCCCUAGCAAGACCUUUGGCACCUUCAGUUCUACCAAGGACUUUCCUGAUGACGUCAUUCAGUUUGCCCGGAACCACCCGCUCAUGUACAAUUCGGUCCUGCCCAUGGGUGGGCGCCCUCUCUUCCUACAAGUGGGUGCUGGGUACACCUUCACCCAGAUCACUGCAGACCGUGUAGCAGCUGCUGAUGGGCACUACGACGUCCUCUUCAUUGGCACAGAUGUUGGCACAGUGCUGAAGGUGAUCUCAGUGCCCAAGGGCAGCCGGCCUAACGCGGAGGGGCUGCUCUUGGAGGAGAUGCACGUGUUUGAGGAUUCGGCUGCUAUCACCAGCAUGCAAAUCUCUUCCAAGAGACACCAGCUGUACGUAGCCUCGCGGAGCGCGGUGGCCCAGAUCCCCUUGCACCGCUGUGCUGCCCACGGCCGCGCCUGCGCCGAAUGCUGCCUGGCGCGUGACCCUUACUGCGCCUGGGACGGGGCCGCGUGCACGCGCUUCCAGCCCAGCGCUAAAAGGCGGUUCCGGCGGCAAGACGUGAAGAAUGGUGACCCCAGUACGCUGUGCUCAGGCGACUCGUCCCAUCCCACACUGCUGGAGCGGAGGGUGUUCGGUGUGGAGGGCGGCAGCGCCUUCCUGGAGUGUGAGCCCCGCUCGCUGCAGGCACGCGUGGAAUGGACCUUCCAGCGCGCGGGGGAGGCGGCCCGCACCACGGUGGCUGCGGAGGAGCGCGCGGAGCGCCUGCCCCGGGGACUGCUGCUGCGCGGGCUGCGGCGCGGGGACUCAGGCGUGUACCUGUGCGCAGCUGUUGAGCAGGGCUUUUCGCAGCCUCUGCGUCGCUUGGCGCUACACGUGCUGAGUGCUGCGCAGGCCGAAAGGCUGGCCCGGACCGAGGAGGCUGCGCCCGUCGCCCCUCCGGGCCCCAAGCUCUGGUACCGGGACUUCCUGCAGCUGGUGGAGCCGGGCGGCGGCGGCGCUGGCUCCCUGCGAAUGUGCCGUCAGCAGCCGGAGUCGCGCCCACCCGCUCCCGAGUCGAGGAGGAAGGGCCGAAACCGCCGAAGGAACGCCCCGGAGCCGCGCGCCGACCGGGGGCCGCGCAGCGCCGCUCACUGGUGACUCGGUCGUCCACGCCGGGUACAGGGAAGGAGGCCACAGGCUGGAGGGGGAGGCCAGACCCUGGGGGACGCACCGCUGGGGGGCCCGGCGCACUGGCCCCUGGACGAUGGAUGAUGGAGACCCCGACCGACAGGCCCUAGCCGAGGGGCUGCCUCGCCGGCUUAUUUAUUAACAGAGGAUAACCCUUGAAUGUAGCCCCGGGAGGGGCGGCCCAGGCCUGGCACAGGGUCCUGUUGGUGUGAGGAGACAGAGAAACAGGGCUUCCGAGCAACGACCUGGGUGGAGGAGGUGCCUGGAGUGCCCACCCUGGGGGAAGGACCGCCUCCCUGGGCAAUGAGCAGAAAGCUGUGAACAGGCUGAGCGGGUGGGGGGGGGGGGCAGGCCAACUGUACUAAUGCAAUAAACACAUUAUCAGCCGAAGCUGGAAUGGCCCCAGUGGACAACCACUGUGUGGCCUUGGGCAACUUCCUACUGGUCUCAAGAGCUCCUUUCUGCUAAGGAUCCUGUGGGAGGAACCAUUGUCAUUCCUGUUUUAUGGAUGAGAAAAUGGAGGAACGAACGAGCAGGCAGAGGAAAGCCUGAAAGUCCUUCCGGUGCUUGGAAAAACCAAAGUGACCAAGUCAAAUGCACCUCUUGCUACUGUGGGUGUUAACAAGUCUGUGGGAUCCUGAGGUCAUCCUGGCUCCAAAUCAAGGAUCACCCCCCGAGAUGGUUUUAGGGCCUUAGGAGCCAGUGACUUUUCGUCCUUUGCCAUCUUCUCUGAGCCCCUGCUGCUGCUGGAAGCCACCUACAAGGGAGGGGGGUGACCUGCUGGCUGCUCAGCUCUGCAUUGUCCCAGCAGACACCAUGGCACUGACGCAGAGUCCGAGGAGCAAGGCACCACCGGCCCCCAACCACAUAGAGGAGGUGCGCCUGCACCAGGUGGAAUCCAUCAGCGACCUACACAGCGGAGGUGCAGCCGUGGGACGAGCUACUGGGCAUCUUGCCACCAUCGCUGUGUGCCCAGGCUGGCUGCAGUCCUGUGCAAGGCCGGGGAGGCUUCCUGUUGCUGCUGGCAUUGCUGGUGCUCACCUGCCUGGCGCUCGCCAUCCUGGCUGUCUAUCUGAGCGGUAAGGCGGAUGGUGCAAGGGGCAAGUGGGAACAGAGGGCCAGGAUCUGGGACCGGAGGGCCCUUCUGCACACCUGGAGGGAGCAGCUACAGAGGCUGAGGCAGUGAAGGGGGGGGGGCAGGGAGGUGUAGGGUGGCACGUGGUCUCAUCACCUCCAUUCUCGCCCGCCCACCCAGUGCUGCAGAGUGAAUCUCUCCGCAUGCUGGCACAUACACUUCGCACUCAGGAGGAGACGAUACUCAAACUCCGGCUCGCCAGCCUCAGCCAGCUGCGGAGGCUCAACUCCACUGAGGCCCAAGCACCCAGCUGAGAUACCACUUGGACCUGGGGGUUGGGAGGGUGUGUGUGUGGGGAGGAAUAAAGUGGCCACUGGCAGGUUUCUCCUGACCCACUGCUCCACACUACUUCCUUGGUGAGGUUUUUGUACAUGAGUCUAACCUGACCCCACAGCUACCUGCCUCUCCUGUCUUCGGGCUAGGCCUAGCCAAGUUUUCUGGGGCCAAGGACCUGCUUUGGGUGGCCCAAGGUCAGAGGAAACGACACCAGCCUCCUGGCUCCUUCUGUGGCCUGUCAGCAGCCUCUGGCUUCCCCCAGAUAGCAGGUUCAGAGUCUAGAAAUAGCUGCCCCCCCUGCUCAAUUGCUCAAACCCUGCCAUGCCUCCCAGCAGGGGUCGGGCCUCAGCACUCAAGCAGGCAGAGCUGAGUAUGGGAAAGAGGGCCACCUGAGGAGACGGUCUGGGAGGGCACAGCUGAGAUGGAGACAGGGGUGGUGGAUGAGAGGGCAGGCAGAAACACCCAGAGCUAAGGGCUGCAGAAGGCUGAGCAAUCAGUUUAAUCAUCUCUAAUAAUCUUUACAAAUCAGCAUAUAGAUCCAUUCCAUGUAGCCUCACCUCCCCACCUGUUUUGGCGCCAUCUGUCCAGAUGCCAUUCCCUUCAAGAAAGUGGGUCAUCCCAUGGGAGCAGGGCCUGAGAAAGGACAGAAAGGGACAGCCCUCCUGCUGUCUGCCCCACGGCUCUGGGACAAGCACACAUUUGGUCUGGCCUGAGACAGAGCAGGAAAAGGCCACAGCGUCGUGUGCAGGGGCAAGGGGCCAGGAUCCCGAGUGCCCUGGCCUCCAGCUACCCAUCCCCAUGUCUGUUUUUGGUUUUGUCAUUAAAAAAAUAAAGCGACAAUUCCUGGCAGGGA